UCAUUGUGAAAUUGAACUCUAGUUUCGCCUGUCAACGGGGAUUGGCGACCAGGUGGUGCUUGUAUAAAUUUUGAUUUCCUUUUCUCCCAUCCAUCAAUGCUCCACACGCAUAACUGUGCAUCAGCCCCAGAAGACACCAGUACAUUUAAACUUUGGGAAAAUGCAAGUCCUGUUAUUCGACUUUGGUGGCCCUUAAGCUUUGUUUUAACCUCAUCAACUCUAACAUUAUAAGACAUUAUAAAUUUGAACUGAAGAAUCUUCCAUGCCAAUGGCAAUGAUAUUAUUAUCCUGAGGAUGGAAUGCCAAAAAUGUGGCAGCAGGAGGUGGGGACAUAAAUGUUGUCAUGACCUUGAAUGUCAUCAUGUUGAACAAAGAUACCUUCCCACCAGAUGCAGAC
rnacentral:misc_RNA from 1 species